CACACACACACACACACACACACACUGAUCAAAAACACACCUUAAACCUUGAAGGGAACUUCCAGUGCGCACAUACACACACACACACACAGAUGUGUUCACAACCAGCCUACACACAUCCGUAUUAUUCAUCCAAAACAAUCAAUUAUCUAAUGCUUCCUGUGACACACACAUGAAUUAUGGGAGUUGUAGUGAGGGCUGAUAAUAGUGGGUGCAGGUGAAUUAUGGGAGUUGUAGUGAGGGCUGAUAAUAGUGGAUGCAGGUGAAUUAUGGGAGUUGUAGUGAGGGCUGAUAAUAGUGGGUGCAGGUGAAUUAUGGGAGUUGUAGUGAGGGCUGAUAAUAGUGGAUGCAGGUGAAUUAUGGGAGUUGUAGUGAGGGCUGAUAAUAGUGGGUGCAGGUGAAUUAUGGGAGUUGUAGUGAGGGCUGAUAAUAGUGGGUGCAAGUGAAUUAUGGGAGUUGUAGUGAGGGCUGAUAAUAGUGGAUGCAGGUGAAUUAUGGGAGUUGUAGUGAGGGCUGAUAAUAGUGGGUGCAGGUGAAUUAUGGGAGUUGUAGUGAGGGCUGAUAAUAGUGGGUGCAGGUGAAUUAUGGGAGUUGUAGUAAUGUCUGAUAAUAGUGGGUGCAAGUGAAUUAUGGGAGUUGUAGUGAGGGCUGAUUAGUCAAAGUCAAAGUGGUUUUUAUUGUCAUUUCAGAUAUAUACAGAGUACACAGUGAAACGAAACAACGUUCCUCCAAGGACCAUGGUGCACAUAAACACAGUGUAGACAGAACAAUAGUGCAACAGUACAAAAGUGCAGACAGACAAUACAACACCAUAUAGACAAAGAAUAAUAAAUAACAAGACA